UACGGAGGAGGCAAGCGUUAUCCGGAAUUAUUGGGCGUAAAGCGUCCGCAGGUGGCACUUCCAGUCUGUCGUCAAAGACUGGGGCUUAACCCUGGAAAGGCGGUGGAAACCGAAGCGCUAGAGUGCGGUAGGGGUAGAGGGAAUUCCCGGUGUAGCGGUGAAAUGCGUAGAGAUCGGGAAGAACAUCGGUGGCGAAAGCGCUCUACUGGACCGCAACUGACACUCAGGGACGAAAGCUAGGGGAGCGAAUGGG
rnacentral:rRNA from 1 species